rnacentral:lncRNA from 1 species
AUCCAACUCUCUGUGUCCAUGUCUCCUGAACCCAUUGGAUUUUCCUUUUCCUUGUCAGAUGGCAGAAGCAGGAAUCACAGGAAGGAGCACCAACACAUACACCAAAGGACUAGGGCCUCCUGAUGUGUGAGAUGGUUGCAGAGGUGUCACACCUGCAUUACGGCCUGAAGGCUCUCCUCCGCUACCCUGCUCCUCCUCUUUCUCCAUCACAGGUCGGGUAUUUCCCCCGAGGAACAACACAUGUAAAUCUCAGUAGAGUCAUUCACAGCAGCAAGCGACCAGGGCAGAGGAAGAACAGGAGAUGCCAGGAGAAGCAAGGCCACGCUUCUCCCAGCAGCAGCCAGGACUUCAGAUGUGAUAGAACAAGGAAGACAGUCUCUUCCAGAAGCAG